rnacentral:lncRNA from 7 species
AGAAUGCUCAGGAGGAAUGUAACUUGAGAAGAUAAUCAUGGAUCUAAACUGCGUGUAUAUGACAGAUUUCUGUAGGCUUUUCUGAGAAAUCCAAGGCUUAAAAUGGUGAUGUUCGGCAUCAUAUGAAGAAGUAGAGUGGAAGCAAAUCAGCUAUGUUGAUCACUGUCUCUGUUGCUCCUGAUUGUAAAGGAAGGUAUUUUUAUUGGAGCAGAGGGGAUAAGUGAAUAGCCUGCAGUCCUAUAGAAAAUUGGUGUCAAAACCAGCAUUUUAACUUGGGCUCUCUUGGAGAAGAAUGAGCUUGACCCUGGACUGUUUCCACUUUCCCACAGCAACUCUCUGAGUGAUAUGUUAUAUUUGCAUUACGGAAUGAGUUAAAUGAUCUCAGUGCAGAGAGAAGUUGCACAGCUGUUUGAGUACAGUGUUUGUUAUGUACUCUAGAAAGGAUGACAAAGGUUAUAGUGGUAUGAAUGUCCACUUCUGAAGCUGUGUACAUUGGGUGUUAUCUCUGACUUACACAUUGAAAUGAACCCAAAAUGUUUACUCUCAUUGUUCCCUUAUACUGGGAAAUUAAAGGUCUAUUCACAUGCUGUUGCUAUUCUUAGCAUUACCUUGCUUACAUUGAAGAAGUUAAGCUCACACUGGUUUAUUUAAUUCUAUGAAUUCUUUGAUGUAGACAAAGCAGCAUUUCCCUUAUUGCUAGUAUGAUGCAUUAUGCAUCACAUGAAAUAUUUAAAGAAUCUGUACCCAUAACACCUACUCUGUCUCAUGCUGUCUUAGUUUAACAGCAGGGGAUGGACUUUCUCACUCUGCCAAAGUCUGGUCUGUUGAUAUAAUGACUGUGCUAAAGAGGGUUGAACAGAAUUGCCAAAUAUGCUUGAGUCGAGAAAAGAAUACAGCUAAUAUUUCACGUUUUCAUUGAAUGACAGUGGUAUAGAGUAUGUACUGCUGCAAAUUUUUCUAAGGCUUUUCAUUUGAAAAGAGGAAAACUCAAGUUCUAGUUUAGAGAUCAGAUUUCUCUUGCAGGGGUCAGAUAAUGCUGAAUGGAAAAGUUAGUCAUAUAUUACAUAUUCUUAAAUUAUUUUUGAAGAGUAAAGGUACCUAUUUCUACUGGAAGAAAUGUGAGAACCACUGUGUAACUUCUUUAGUGGUAUUGUGAAAAUAAUUAAAUAUAGUCUUUUAAAAACUUUGCAGCAGUGGUCAGGCUCUGAUGCUCCAGCAGUCUUCCAUGGAAUCUUAGCUUCAAUCUUAUGGAAGCUAAUGUUUCUUGAUAAUGAACUGUGAAAUAAAAAAUGAUUGGCU